UACAGAGGGGGCAAGCGUUGUUCGGAAUUACUGGGCGUAAAGGGCGCGUAGGCGGCCUGCUAAGUCGAACGUGAAAUCCCCGGGCUCAACCCGGGAACUGCGUCCGAUACUGGUUGGCUUGAAUCCGGGAGAGGGAUGCGGAAUUCCAGGUGUAGUGGUGAAAUGCAUAGAUAUGACCCGGAACACCGAUUGCGAAGGCAGCCCACUAAGCAAUGAUUGACGCUGAGGCACGAAAGCGUGGGGAUCAAACAGG
rnacentral:rRNA from 1 species